rnacentral:tRNA from 1 species
GCCUAUAGCUCAGUUGGUUAGAGCAGCGGACUCAUAAUCCGUUGGUCCCAGGUUCGAGUCCUGGUGGGC